rnacentral:rRNA from 1 species
UACAGAGGUCUCAAGCGUUGUUCGGAUUCAUUGGGCGUAAAGGGUGCGUAGGUGGCGCGCUAAGUCAGGUGUGAAAUUUCGGAGCUUAACUCCGAAACUGCAUUUGAUACUGGCGUGCUUGAGGACUGGAGAGGAGACUGGAAUUCAUGGUGUAGCAGUGAAAUGCGUAAAGAUCAUGAGGAAGACCAGUGGCGAAGGCGGGUCUCUGGACAGUUCCUGACACUGAGGCACGAAGGCCAGGGGAGCAAACGGG